rnacentral:rRNA from 1 species
AUUGAACGCUGGCGGCAGGCCUAACACAUGCAAGUCGAACGAGUGGCGGACGGGUGAGUAAUGUCUGGGAAACUGCCUGAUGGAGGGGGAUAACUACUGGAAACGGUAGCUAAUACCGCAUACCAUCAAAUGUGCCCAGAUGGGAUUAGAGAGUUGGUGGGGUAACGGUUCACAAAGGCGACGGUCACUAGCUGGGCUGUGAGGAUGUCCAGCCAAACUGGAGCUGAGACACGGGCCAGACUCCUACGGGAGGCAGCAGGGGGGAAUUUUGCAGAUUGGGCGCAAGCCUGAUGCAGCCAGGCCGCGUGUAUGAAGAAGGCCUUCGGGUUGUAAAGUACUUUCAGCGGGGAGGCGUUACCCGCAGAAGAAGCACCGGCUAACUCCGUGCCAGCAGCCGCGGUAUUC